rnacentral:rRNA from 1 species
CGCGUAGGCGGUCCGAUAAGUCGGCUGUGAAAGUCAAGGGCUCAACCCUUGAAAGCCGGCCGAUACUGUCGGACUAGAGUCCGGAAGAGGCGAGUGGAAUUCCCGGUGUAGCGGUGAAAUGCGCAGAUAUCGGGAGGAACACCAAUGGCGAAGGCAGCUCACUGGACCAUAACUGACGCUGAGGCGCGAAAGCUAGGGGAGCAAACA